GACUACCACCUUAAGAGAAAUGCUGAAGUCCUCUACAGUUCAAGUAAGUAUUUUUGGGAUUGUAUGUGCAUGUUUCGGAACUCUAAGUGUAUAAACAUUCACUCACAUAAUGUACAUGACUGAGCUGGUCAGAGCUGCUUGUGGGUGUAUCCAUCCUGACAGUCUGUGUCUUCUUGCAGUGCAAAGGCAAUUGCAGGCCAAAGACUAACAGCUGAAGGAGGAAUCAAGGGAGCUGAACUAUUGAGCAGGGCCAAAUAAUUUAAUCUGUUCCCCUUUUCAGUUGCUGCCACCUUGUUCAGCUGGACUGUAAACUGAGGCAACUCUCUUCUAUCAUGCUGUUCUAUAUCACAAGAUCCCUGUCUCAGGCUGGGGCUCUGGCACAAUCACAUUCCAGAUAAUUAAAUAUACCUCAUACUUUAAAAUAGUUUUCAAUCAAAUUUUGUGUUCAGGAAUUUUUUUUUUAAAUUCUGCAUCUGUAUGUGGGAUAAUAAUUACUUACAAUUAUACUUAAUACAUUAUAUUACUCCUCCAGAACAUAAAGGGUCACAGAGCCUAUUUAGCUGUUUUAUAUAAGCUUUUUGUGAGAAUUUUAAAGAAAGGAUGAUUUGGAAUGUAAAUAAGGUGGGAGAUUUUGAUAUGAGGUCAGCUGUGUUGCAUGGGCAGAGGUGUAAGUGAAACUCCAGUGAUACCUAUUACAGAUGAGCCAUCUCUGUUAACAAACCAUCUCCUUUUAUCUUCCUUCCCUUCCUCUACUCCAGAGUAAAAUGGAAUUUGAACUUCAGAAAAGACCAUGGUUCUUCUGAGGGUUAGGUCAAAUCUGUAAGAACAAAAAUAGUCUUUAUUAACACAUACCAGAGCUACUGAACAUCAGUAGCUUUUGAUUAUUUUAAUAGGACAGUAAGGAUCAAGUACUUUCCCUACACAGCUGCAGUGGUGGCCUGAGAUAAACCAAACACUCUGUACUUUGGCUAAGGUGCUCAUGGUGUUGGUAGUUCUUUUGAGACCUGAAGGCCUGAAAAUACCCAGACAUUGCAACAUGUCCUGUGCAGGGCAGUCAUUUGGAAGACCUGGAUUGGCUGCUACAGUCCUGCACCAACACAGGUGAGAAGGGCUGAGCAGCAAUUAAAAUGCAGAAUUUCUCACCACAGAUCAUAGAAGGGAGCCAGUUAUGUUGCACCACUGUCUACUUACAGGUAGAUGAAAUCUUCCACAUUUGGACUCUGCCGAGUGAAUUAGAACUUCUUUUUUCCAUUUUACAAUGGUGUUUUCAUUUUUUUUUUCAUUUACAAUGAAAUGUAAAUUAUUCCUAGUGUAAGGCAACUCCAACUCUACCAGGCACCUUUGUCUAAAGCUGGUACAGUAGAGACUCUUGUUUUUGAAAAGCAAACAAAUGUAACUUAUUCUGUGGAAGUAAAAAUGUUUUCUCCAGCCAGCUGAUAAACAAAGUGCUGAUUCAAGGGGUCUGCAGAAGAUGAUUAGAGAAGAAUAUAUGGAUCACAUUAAACCAGUAGAAGAUACAUUGGAUCCGAACUAAGGUUGGUGGAAUAGGCUUGAAAUUCAGGUUUUCUGAAGGAGGAUAUUCAGAAUCAAACAGACAGUAAAGAACUGAUGUGUUUAUUGCCCACUGUUCUUCUUAUGGCAUACAUGAUCAAUGGAAGGUCAUGAAUGUUACUAACCUUCAGGUGAAGAGUCAUUGAAGAAGGCUUCCUCUGCAGAUGUUUUGACUGUAUGAACCCAAAAGCCAGCAUUGUUUUCUUCCCUGUUAAUAUGGACUGGAUUCUUGUGGAAAAGAGGAUUGCAGUGUUCAGAAGUACAAGGUACACAGACCGAGAGAGGAGCAGGAUACACCUCUGUGAAUCUCACAUUUCAUAGGCAUGGCAUAAUGAAGGAGAAAAUAAAAAGGGUUGCAGGCUCGUGCAGACACAAGACAUAUGAAAUCUUGUACAGUGGUGUGUGUCUGAGAAUCUGCUAGAAAUUCAUGAACAGCAAUAAGAAACUAAUUUUCAUUCAACUAUGAAUAGUAACAUCUGUAGCCCUGUUAUGUAGCCGGGCUGGUUUUAGUCUUUAGUCCAGUCUGGUUUGGAUAUGGUGCUGGGAAGAGAAGGAGAAAAGAAAAGAAUUUCCACCUAUCUAGCAUCUGUGGAAACUUUGGAAAUGCCUGAGCAGACAAGCAUGUUGUCCUGAGAUAUUGCUGGGUGUGCAAUAGCUAAUGAAAACUUUACCUCAUGUCUUUAAAAAUCUACAGAUAUUAUUGUUUCCAAUCCAAACAUCUACAGGAAAGACUUGCAAAACUGUCAAUGUCUCAUUCAGUUAAUAGGCAGAAGAAGAGAAAAGUAACUUAUUCUGAGCUAACAUCCUCACCCUCUUUGUAUUUCUCCUCAUUUCAAGCACGUCACCUAGUGAUGAAAGUGUGGCUUAUAUCUGAAUAAAAGAGUUGCAGAAGAGAGCUUUGGAAGACAAUGAACUUAGACAUACUCAAGAUGUUCACACAACAUUGGCCUUUAUUUCUCCAUCUUUUAGAUUUCAGACUAAUAGGAGGUGGUUCUCCUAAAACACCGCAGCAUUCAGCUCGCUGGAGACCGGGGCAAAACCAUAGCAAGAUGUGCUCUUUCUCCUUGGUGAUGAAGAGCAUUUUCCAUAAAUCUCCCACUGUCCCUCAUCCGUUAUGUGCACGUGUCACAAAAAUUAGGGGCUGAAAUAUCUUUUCAUUCAACAGAGGAUUUUUCAGAGCAAAGCCUUAAACAUCCAAAUCCAUUGCAUCCUGUGAAGGAUAUGCAAUAAGAUAGUUCAAUUCAAAACAGAACAGGUGUGAAAAGAAUGGGAAGAACCAGGAUGUGAGAGAUAGCUGGCUCACAGUCCAAGCUGUUGCAGUUUGAGUCCAAUCUUUGCUGUUGAUAGUUCUUUUACAGAGUCCUUCAUUAAUAAUCAUCUCCAUUUGGAACAAAAGAUGGAAGGAAAAAAGAGGAGAAGGAGAAGGAGAAGGAGAAGGAGAAGGAGAAGGAGAAGGAGAAGGAGAAGGAGAAGGAGAAGGAGAAGGAGAAGGAGAAGGAGAAGGAGAAGGAGAAGGAGAAGGAGAAGGAGAAGGAGGGGAAAAGGAAGUCAUUGUCGAGACCUGUCACUGCAGAAAGCCAAAAUACUAGAUCAAACGUUGCAGAAGAGGUUAUCAAAACCACAGUGAUCUUCUUGGUGGUAGAAGAUGAAGAAGCUUUCCUGCACUUCAGCUGAUAUGUGAUCAGGAAAUCUGGAGUGAGCAGAUUUGCAUAAACUGACUCCAUGCACUGAGAAAAGAGGGUCUUCAGGGCUUCAGCUGCCCCAGAAAGUGGAACAAAAAAGCAUGCUGAAAACAUUGAAAGAGAGGACUGGAGGAGAGAGAUGAAAGGAGAUGAGUAGACGUGGGAAAAAGAGACAGAACAAGCACAGCUGUAGAGUCAGAACAGACUACAUAUUUAUUUUCUUUAAAAAGGCAUGUGAAGCUCCUCUGGGAAAGCUCUGGCCACUGCCCAAGACAGCAUGCUAGAGUAGAUGGAGUGACAGCCUAAUGCAUUUAAACAACAUCUAGAGCACUUUUAUGAAGUCCAGUCUGGCUCUGGAGGAAGAGGAACUGUUUAGAAACAGCUGGUUGUUGAUGAGCCAAACCAAACCUGGACACGGUGUGAUGUGACUGUAUUUUUGCUGAAAGCUCACCAGGAUGCUGUGUCAGACAAAUGUGCUCCUACAGUACAGGUGGCAAGAAAGGCUCGGCCAUAUGGAGAACCAUUGCUGUUGCUGUCACUGCCAAAAGCUGUACGAGAUGCCCCACGAAACAGAAAGAGGAUUUACUGCAGUUGAACAGGCUUGUUAACUGUGUUGGUCAUAAGAUAAUGGAAGCCAAAAUGUUUUUCCUUCAUUAGAAAAAGCAGAAAGAGUGAUGUUAGCUAAACAGUGGUCAGUGUUAAGUGAAUAAUGCAGUUAUGUAGGAAAGGAGCUACAGGAAGGCCUUAUGAGUAUUGCAGCCAAGAUAAAGCAAGUAUUUGCCACUCUGUCCCCUCUAUCUUCUCCGAGCAUAUCAGCAGUGAGAUCGUGCCUAUUGUCACUCUUACCAUGAGUUAUGUGAUUCUUUCACUUUUGAACUGGGCUCUGGCCUGUGAUGCCCUCUGUGUCACUCACAGUUACGCAGCAACUGAGUGAAUUUGUAUCUGCAGACACAGCAAUGAAGACAGUGACCUGCCAGCUUUUCAAUUCUACCCCCAAUCACAGAGGGAUUUAUUUCCUGAUAGGAGUGUAAAAUUUAGAGAAAAUAGAGUUUAAGGCUUCAGAUAGUUGCUGGGCAUCAUCCUGUCUAAACUUAACCGCAGACCAAAGACAGCCCAGAUAGGCAUAGACACCUCAGACAUCCCUCACACAAUACCACUGCACAGCAGUUAACUUUCAUCACAGGGACAAAAAACAUUUUUAAACCUUUCAGAACAUGUGGAGGAACUUUCCUGCUCAGACAAAGCUGUCUAGGGAUCUGAAGCAAAGUUGGGAUAAUCCUCCUCAGAGCCCCUGACUGCCAUUUCCUCAUGCCCAUGCUGGUGCCCUGAGGGGAGGUGGCUUGCCAGGAGCAGGCAGGAAUGCCUCAGCCUCUCCAUGUACCUGUGAGGAGUUUUCAGACUGACAGAUGUAACCAGCUUAUUGCUUAGGCCCUGACUGAGCGUGUUGGCUUAGCCCAAGUCGGCUGCUGCUCUUCCAAAGAAAUGUUUGCUGAUGACUUGCUUGCUAUGGCAUCUCAAAAGGUCAUCUAGAUUGAGUCCACUACACCUAAAUUAGCCCUGAAAGGCAUUCAUGCAGCCUGUUCUUAAGAGCCACCAGAAGUAAAGAUUUCACAUCCCCUUCAGCAAUUGAUUUCUCUGCUAACCUCUCUCCACUGUUUCCCAAAGGUAUUUUAAAGUGCUUAAUCUAAAUCCUUAAGCCAAUAAUAGCCACAUGGACAGGAUCCAAAAAUAGCACUGACAAUGGCUGUUAACACCAGUUCAGUAACCUUAAGCUCCAGAUUGUGUGCAUACAUCUGUUUGAUGUCACACCAGACUGGUAUAUAGGCAAAGUCAUGCCAUGGCUUUCCAGGGUAAGUCCAGCUUCCCAUCACUCCUAUGUCUGCCUAGAAGUUCGUUGGGUAAGGGCAUGGACAGAAAAACUUAUUUGCCUACAGCAAUCCACACAGGAAGUUCAGGAUUGUGCUGCAGCCUAAGGCAGUGAUAAAGAGAUGUCUUGGGCAUGUUCUGGGGCUGCACCAAACAGCAGAAGGAAAAGACCUUUUUUUUGCCAGGAAGGCUGGCUGCUCUGAGGAGAAUAGUCCUGAGGUGGGAAUGUUGCUUCUGGUGAUUGAAUUAAUUCCCCUAGAGCUCAUUAGCAUGUCUCCACAAGGCAUUGUGUGUGACCAUAUGGAUGGAGAGGUUUAGCCAUGUCCGUGUUUUCUGAAUCAGCAACCAGCCCAGUCGUUUAAUGUAAGAAAACUAAUUUCCUUGCUAGACAUAAACACAAUCCAAAUCUGGUUAUAAUUAACUAGGUGAAGUCUGAGCUCUUUUCUUCACCUCCAUGGCAUUUUUCUGUAUUUCCCAUAGAACGGCUCAAGUGCGGUUCCUCUCCCAAGCAUUUCUGGGCUGGCAGUCAUGCAAGAGACUUUCCAGUGCUUUUCAAAGCUUCCCUCUUCCGUCUGUUUGGGAAUGUAAGGAAAACAGUCUGCCUCAAAAUAGACUUCUUUCCACUCUGACCAAAACCACUACCUGUUGGGAAGAUGGCAUUUCCCCUGCCCAGCCUAAGAAUGGCUUUCUGAGAACUCUGCUUUUUCAGUGAUUUGGAUUCAGCUGGGCUGAAGCACAGCACAGGGACAAUAUUUAAUUCUUCCUUGCUAUUUUCUCUAGCUUUGAUUCACUGCAAUGUAAUUUUGGAAGCUUAAUCUAGUUUCAUCAGCCAUGACUGGAGCUAGAAAACAGGGCAAGUUAUCAGAAGAUACAGAAGGGAGAUAACUAAAGGAAAUUUCAUUUGGCACAAAUUAUCAGGAAAUCCUCCCAAAAUCAAGCCGUCAAGGAAAUGAUGGAAGUACAUGAUUUCACUAAAAAUGAACCCACAUGUAUACCACAACAUACACAAACAUAAAUAAAAGGCCCCUUUCCAUCCUCUGGAAGUCAGUUUGGUUUUUUUCUGGGGCUACUACAAAUAUUUUAAUGUAUCCUGGCUCCAGUCCAAUCCUCUGCAAUUGCUGGCAGCCAUUUUAUAUCAUCCCUAUCAUAAGUUUGACUGUCACAGCAGUUUGUGCUUUGAUUUUUACUAUGUCCAGACCCAUACUCAGCUGUCUGGGGCAGUUCAGGUUCUGCACCCAGGUCUAAGCACAACAGCUGCCCCAAACAGGUCUUUAUAAUUUCCUGCUUGUGCAAUGGGAGUCCCUGGCAGCUGCCUCUGGAGGAGGGCUGUGCUCCCCUGGAGCAGUUUGUGCUGCCAGCAGCUCCUGCAGCUCAAGCAGAGGCAGUUCACGCCUGGGGACCAAAAGCAGUGUGGCUGGGGGAAUUUGGGGUGUAAGGUGGCAAUUACCAGUAAUAAGUCUGCAACAGGAUUGCCUGUGGGCAUUGCAAGUGCCUAAUGUUUUUGCAGCCCUCAGAGAGCUGAGUGCCCCCAGCCCUCCCCACAGAAGCCAAGGUCACCUUGUAGGUGUUUUGUGGGGAUCAGGCCCCACAGGCUCUGACUCCAUCUCCAGUUUGUCUGGAGGUGCAUAACUUCUGGCACACCUCGGUGCACCUAAUUGUUGUCACUAUUAGAGCACAAGGACAAAUUGCUGACAAAGAGGGCUGCAUAAAAAUGCACUUGGGUGCAAUAGCUGUGGCAGUAUUUCAAACAGCUUCCCAUUGUACACCUCUGAGAGAGAGGCAAGCACGUGUGCUUUAUAAUUGUGCAACCAUAUCGCUGAAUAUGGAUAGCACUUACAAGUGCUGUGUAACAUGUUGACAACUCUGCACACAUAAAUAUGUAUUGUUUUUCAGGCACAACCCAGGCAAAGGGAAAAACUGAGUUUUUAUUUUAGUCUCUUCUGCAAUGUCUGAGCUAACUGCUACCAGUUUCCUUUAUAAAGGAAAAUGGGAGUCCUAAUGACUUAACAAGCAAUUCUAGACAAAGGACCUCAGAUCUCCAAGUUCAGCUCCCUAAAAAAUUUCUAUCUAUGGCUCAGAUCCUAUCAAUUAUUCCUUUUUAUUAUCACUAUUAUUUUUUAUUUUUUCUACAGCUAUUAUCUCUUGAACUUCCUAGUUUGUUCUCUACCUCUUUUGGGUGACUUUUCAAAAUUCAGAUCAUUCCACAGCAAAAGCUUUAACUGUCCUUUAUACCAAGAUUCUUCUUUCUUUUUGACAUCAAGACUUUUCUCUUUGAUAACUUCAAAUGUUUCUUCCUCUCUGCAGUGAGUACUUAAUUCUCACCAAUGGUUUUGCUUUUCUAUCAAACAUAGUAGUAACACCCUGAAUGUUUUUAAUCUGCUUUGGCCAUUGAGUGCUUUCUUUGCCUUUUUUUUUUUUAAACUUUCUACUGUAUUUAUGUGAAAACCACCACUAUUUG